GUGUCAGCAGCCGCGGUAAUACGUAGGGUGCGAGCGUUAAUCGGAAUUACUGGGCGUAAAGCGUGCGCAGGCGGUUUUGUAAGCCAGAUGUGAAAUCCCCGGGCUCAACCUGGGAAUGGCAUUUGGGACUGCAAGGCUGGAGUGUGGCAGAGGGGACUAGAAUUCCUGGUGUAGCAGUGAAAUGCGUAGAUAUCAGGAGGAAUACCGAUGGCGAAGGCAGGUCCCUGGGCUAACACUGACGCUCAUGCACGAAAGCGUGGGGAGCAAACAGGAUUAGAAACCCCCGUAGUCC
rnacentral:rRNA from 1 species